rnacentral:rRNA from 1 species
CCUACGGGAGGCAGCAGUGGGGAAUAUUGGACAAUGGGGGCAACCCUGAUCCAGCCAUGCCGCGUGUGUGAAGAAGGCCCUCGGGUUGUAAAGCACUUUCAGUGAGGAAGAACGCCUGGUGGUUAAUACCCAUCAGGAAAGACAUCACUCACAGAAGAAGCACCGGCUAACUCCGUGCCAGCAGCCGCGGUAAUACGGAGGGUGCGAGCGUUAAUCGGAAUUACUGGGCGUAAAGCGCGCGUAGGUGGCUUGAUAAGCCGGUUGUGAAAGCCCCGGGCUCAACCUGGGAACGGCAUCCGGAACUGUCAAGCUAGAGUGCAGGAGAGGAAGGUAGAAUUCCCGGUGUAGCGGUGAAAUGCGUAGAGAUCGGGAGGAAUACCAGUGGCGAAGGCGGCCUUCUGGACUGAAACUGACACUGAGGUGCGAAAGCGUGGGUAGCAAACAGGAUUAGAUACCCCUGUAGUC